UCGCUACCUCAUUGCAAGAGGGUCGUAACUCCAAAUUUGCUAGUUUUGAGUUAUAUGGUGUACAAGAUUGCCGAAUUGAUUCUGCAUCUUUUGGUAAAAGAGUCGUAAAUCUAGGUGAAUUAGCGGCCGAGAGAUGGCACUAAGAAGAUUUUUAGUGAACAUCAAAAUAUCUCUGAGGGUUGUGGCAACAGUGUCGUAGUCAGUGUUACUAUGGCAGUCGUUGAGGUAACAUCUCUCGAAUUUUGUUCAUGACUGUUAAUUUACUCAUGAUUAAUUAAUGAUGUCCCGUGGAUUGAAAUGUGUGCAAAUGGCAUUGCAAAGAAGAACAAAAUUGGAACAGGCUAGUGAGAAAGACGGAUCGGUAUCAGGUGAGUGAUGCCUUCCUUUGUAAUGGUUAAGAGUGUGGGGCUUAUAGCAUGGUCUGGCUCCAAACAGUCUUGGAGUAGGGAAUAGCCUAGACUGGCCACUGCCAGUCUAGGAACAGGGCCCGGAUUGGCCCCUGCCAGGCCAGGAAAUACAGUCUAAAAUGGGAUGGAUGGGAGGACCAGGUGAAAAUCAACAAUGUGGAAAUGAGUACCAGUGAAUUAGUUAGCCCCCAAAAAACAAAGAAACGAAAACUGAAGCAGAGUGAGUGGAAACGGAAUAUGAAUAAAAAGAGGAGAAACAUGGGACUUGCUUAUGAAUCGGCUGCAAAGAAACAGAAAGAGGCGCGGAAAAUCAAACCACCUUGUAAAGAAACUUGCAGGAUGAAGUGCACCAGUAACAUAUCUCAUGAUCAAAGACAACACAUUUUUGAAUCAUACUGGAACCUAGGGGAUAUUGACCUUCAAAGAGAAUACAUAGCAAAAUGUACAAAGGAAGUAAAGCCAAUUUACAGAUGCAUAAGGGAAAAAAGACAGCGUGGACCAAGGGGAAACAACAUUUGGUAUUCCUUCCCAGUUGAUGGUACAUUAACAAGAGUCUGCAAAACAUUUUUCCUCAAUACUCUUGACAUAAAUGAUAGGGUUACUAGGACAGCAUUAACUAAACAGAAGAGAGCAGCAGGAUUGGUGUCUGAAGUAGAUAACAGAGGAAAACAUAAAAACCAUCCUACGCUUGAUCCACAAAUCAAAGAAGGAGUUAGAGCUCACAUAGAAGGAAUUCCUAGAAUCGAAAGUCACUACACCAGGGCACGGACAGCUAGGGAAUACAUUUGUGGGUCUCGAAGCCUGGCAGACAUUCAUAGGGAUUAUGUCCAAGAAUGUAAAGAUAAGAAGAAGCCCUAUGCAACUUACUCAAUGUUCUACAAUAUUUUUCAGAAUGAGUACAAUAUCGCUUUCUUUGCUCCUAAGAAAGAUCAGUGUGACUUGUGUGUGUUGUUCAAUAAUGCAGAUGGGGAAGCUAAGGAAAACUUAAAAGAAAAGUAUGACACACAUCAAUGUGAAAAGGUACUUUCAAGGGAAGAGAAGAAGCAAGAUAAAACUGAAGGAAAUGCUAUAGUUGCUGUGUAUGAUCUACAAGCCGUACUGCAACUUCCACAAGGUGAUGUAUCCACCUUCUAUUACAAAUCAAAAUUUAAUGUCCUAAAUUUCACAAUUUAUGAUAUCAAGACUAAUGAAUGUGACUGUUUUCUUUGGGAUGAAACAAAUGGUAAUAGAGGAGUGAAUGAAAUAGGCUCUUGCAUCCUAAGUUAUAUUAAAGAAUUAUGUGAUAAGAAUCAAGGAGAAGACAACAUUGAAAUAAUUUUCUAUUCUGAUAACUGUGCUGGGCAACAAAAAAACAAAUUUAUGCUUGCAUUGUAUUUGUAUGUUGUCACUAAUUUGCCUGUUAAGUCAAUCACCCAUAAAUAUCUGAUAAAAGGCCACACACAGAAUGAAGGCGACUCUGCGCAUUCUCUGAUUGAAAAACAAAUAAGGAGACUGAAGAAAGGGGGACCAAUAUUCGUUCCUGAAACCCUUGUCACUGCGAUUCGCUCUGCAAAGAAAACAGGCCAGCCGUUCCAAGUUCGCGUAAUGCAGUAUGAUGACUUUAAAAAUGUGAAGUCUCUUACUACACAAAUGGGAGCAAUCAAUGUCAAAGAUUUAAGAUUAAGUGAAAUCAAAGUCAUGAAGUUUGAAAAGCAAUGUCCAGCCUCAGUCUUAGUGAAAUAUUCAUACAGUGAUGAAUUCAAACGUGUUCUAUUGAUCAGAAAACCAAAGGUUGCCACAGAUCUCUUGCAGUGUUACUCAGAGAAAAUUCCCCUAAGCGAAAAUAAGAAAAAAGAUCUUAAAGAACUCUGUGAAAAAGGCUUAAUCCCACGUCCCUAUUCGGACUUUUUUAACAACAUUACCUAAUUUUGAUGCUUAAUUGGUCACAAAGAUGUAAUACUUAUCAUUCAUUUUUUUUUUAUAACUGAGUUACGGCCAAGGGUAACAAAAAUUUAAAGGAAAUACUUGCUUCAUGUAAUUUAAACCUAUCUAUUUGAAAGAUUUCAUUAAUUUGAAGGAAAUUGUUUGCUUUAUGUGGCUGAACCAAUUGAUUUGAAAGAAAAAAAACUUUUUUUUUUUUUUUUUACUUUUUUUUUUCUUGGUAUGCAUUUUGUUGGAAGAAUAACAACAGAAUAUAAUGGUAUAAUAUAUUUCUGAAUAGGUACACAGCAUUUAUGAUUUAUUUCAAUUUGUUUUGUUACUGAAUGGAUAAAUACUGUUCUUUUUGUAAGGAAUAUUUAGUUUUAUAAUAAACUGGAAUCAUACA